AGGUGGAGUAGUGUUUUUUGAAUUUGAAAUUUAGGAUUUGAAUAAAUAUAGAAAUAAAUACUUACAAAAAUAAAUUUAAAAAAAAAAGUUUCAAACAUAAUUUUCGAUUUUCAAAAAGAAAUGAAAAAAAAAAGUUCCGAUGAUUUUUUUUUAUAAAAAAGUUCGAAUUUGAAAAAGUAUAAUUCGAAAACAUAAUAUUAUAAAUAAUUAUUUAUUAUAUAUAGGGAACAAUAGUAUAAUAGUCUUUUGCCACUUAAUGAAAAUGUAUAUUUGAAAAUGUUCCUUUAGUGAUGGUAAAGAUGAUAGAUGCUGCUACGUAUAAUAUUUACUAAA
rnacentral:lncRNA from 1 species